AGAGUACUCCCUCCAUCCGAAAAUACCUGUCGAAGAAAUGCAUAAAAAUGAAUGUAUCUAGAACUAAAAUCCAUCUACAUACAUCCAUUCCUCCGACGAGUAUUUUCGGACGAAGGGAGUAGUAA
rfam:Triticum aestivum genome assembly, contig: Triticum_aestivum_CS42_TGACv1_scaffold_220691_3B